UUCCAAUGAGGAAGCGAACCCAUUGAUAGGAAGUGCCGUAUGACACUUAAAAUCAGCAGCGGGCAC
rfam:Cephalotus follicularis DNA, scaffold: scaffold974, isolate: St1.